ensembl:miRNA Mir3558 microRNA 3558
GCAGCUGGACCUUCACCCGGGCUGUCCAUAGAAGUCAUCCCACAGUGCCUUCAAGGAGGGCAUCGGCACUGUGGAGGGUUUCUAUGUCAGCCUGAGUGGUACAGAUCCAUGCUG